rnacentral:lncRNA from 1 species
UCCGACGUGCAACAUACGGCUUAGAAAUAACGACUGACGAGAUACCACGAAGAGAAGUCGCGCAGCGCGUAUUUUCAGACAUUCCUAAAAUAAACCCGCAUUUCCUCCGCGACUAGCUUGGAAGCUUAAUAUUCUGAAUCACAGCACGAAGAUUUCGUGGUAGCGAAUGACGAUGCGUGAUCCAAGGGGCCCCGGAUCUGAGACUUGCAAAACAUUUGAAAUAUUUCGCACCACCUCGACGAAGGCUUGUAUACUAAAAUCAAAAAACAACUUUUUACUUAUUCACAUUUUUAUUACCGAGCAACUUUCACAAAUUGUAUCUGUAUUGUCUGUAAGACGUGCCCUGCAGUGAUCAUCACAUAUAGCUUAUGAUCCUCGGGCCAUAGUAUGUAACGAAAACCUCAGCUUCUCAGUCUUCCAAAAGCUGACUGUAUCACCUGAGAUCAAAGAAACAGGAUUCUCAAACGUUCUCAUACGUCGUGACAACGAGAAAUUCUACAAAUCUUUACCAAACUUCAAAGCAAUGAGCUUUGCAAGGUAACCGCCACCAGAGAUAUCGGCAGCACUCCGGCCUUGGUUUGUGAAAACAACCCGGUCGGCAGCAAGGACGUUGUGGGACGUAGUACUUGGGUCGUGGUUCCGGUUUCAGAGGAAUGGUGACCGUGCAACCCCUACAAGAGUCGCAGAGUUACAAACGAAUAAACCAGAGAAAAUCAAGACGAAGAUGAUGGGAACUUGCCCAUGAAGCAUUAAACCUGACCUGUGCCGGGCGGACUUUGCACUGCACCUUCGGAAAUACAAUUAAUCCAGCCACAACGAACGAUGCCUUCCGAUGAUCACUCAUUGUCAGAGUCGAACCGCUCAUUUCAAGGGACUCGCUGCCACCCUGGCCGGACAUUGCGGAGGACAUGCUGGAGGACACGGCGGUGGACAGUAAGGAACGCAUUUUGGAGGACAGGGUCCGCACGGCACCGGUGGUGUACAAAUCGUGAUUCGGCAAGGCGGGGGACAAGGACAACAUGGUACGCACGGCGGGCAAGGUGGACAAGGUGGUGGGCAGCAAGGGUAUACAGGACUAUUCUGCUUGCAGCCUGGGGAGGAAGGAGCUUGAGGCGGAGACGAGCCACCACAGCACGACAUUUUCUUUAAAUUUUUCGAUCCCCUGGAACAAUCACUGCUGUUCGCUGGAUUAAAAUACAGACUUCUAAAUUGAUAAGGAAUUAGGCUUGCACCUACAUUACACAGUACACUAAAAAAGUGAUCCAGGACACCUGAUGACGGCAAUGUAAAAUAUAACAACUCGUUGACCAUGGACGAUAAAAUAUUAGCAUCGAGGUGGUGGGCAACAGGGCAUGCACGGUAAACACGGUGGUGGGCAUGGUGGAGGACAAGGCGGCGGACAUGGCAUACAGGGAACACACGAAGGGCAAGGCAUACAACGAGGCGGCGGUGGACAGCAACUGAUGCAUGGUGGGCAAGGUGGAGGACUGCAGGGCGGUGGACAGGGUGGAGGGCAGCGAGGUGGCGGACAACAUGGAGGCGGAGGGCAUCGAGGUGGUGGACAACAUGGAGGCGGAGGGCAUCGAGGUGGUGGACAAGGUUGUGGUGGUGGUGGUGGUGGGCAGGGUUGUGGACAACAUGGUGUAGCAGGGCAUGGGGGUGGACAUGGUGGUCCGGCACAUGUAUUGCCACAGGUCCGUUAGUUUGAGGAGAGCUGCCCGACCAGGACCACAAACUGGGUAAAGCUUCGUCAUGCACUCCGGUCGGCCCAUGCAAUCGUACAUCAUGCAACGAUCCUGCAGUCCGUUACGCAGGAUGCAUUCACAUCUGUACAUUAUUCCACCGCGAAGUUCGAAGCUCUUGCAUGCCUUGAUUGGGCUCUGUCGACGAAACGUUAAUGAUCGAAAAGUUCGAAAUCAACUCACACAGCAUGGUGGAUCGUCAGAGACUGGACAGACUGGACAACAAGUUGGUGGCGGACAGGGAGGCUCGUCCCACUCGCAAGGCUUUCUGUAAGAACUGACAAGACAUUUCAGCUGGGCCAGAAGCUCUCGUCGUCGAUCGCAAUUCGGGUUCUUUCCGUCACACGGCAUCUUGGAGGGAUUUUUUUUUUUUUCAGUUCGAAAUUUUACACUUUUUUUCGACUGGUUUGGAAAUAGUUAUUUUCUAUUUCAUUCAGUCAUCUGAUAUUUCGGUUUUUUUUUAUUCUUUGUGUAUUUAUUAAAUUUUUUUUUUCGUAUGACGCAUUACUUCUUUUACAAUUUCAUACUCUUACGAAGGACAGCUGAUCUACCGAGAAUUUAAACAGUGCAAAGAUACAUAUUGAAAAAAAACCACAGGGCAGCCAAAAUUUACUGAGAAUUUAACGUUGCUAUUAUCAUAGACGUGAAUAAACUAAUAUGUAUUCAUAUUUUCAUCUCAUGCGUCAAUUGAGAAACAACUCGUGCCCCCGGCAACGCAUAUUUCCAUUGUUAAGGAACCCAACAGAAGAGCCAAUCACACGAAGCUUCUUCCCAACUAACAUUUACAGCUGACCAUUCCUUGUCCAUGUGUAAAAUUGUAUAAGAUUAACGUAUUCCAAAUCCUCGGAUAUUUUCGAAACAUACGGUACACUGGAAAGAAUUAAAUCGUCAUCUUGGAAAGUGAAAAUAAUUCGUAGCAAGUUACGGUGAUGUAAAUGUGUUGAUUUAUUACUGUACAUAUUAUUAUUCAUGCUUAAUGAUGCCAGUAAUAACAUAACAGUGGCGGCUUCGGUGGGACUAGUAUUGCGAUUGAGGCAGGGUUACUUUGUAGCGAGUGUGAGAACGUAGUUUCACGAACGGGAAAUACGCAAGGUUGCACAACAGCCGAACGAAUUUUAGUGGACCAGCAUUGCUUAUUCCGCCAUGAAUGCGGAGUAAUAAAGCGGACAAGGAGACACAAAAAGACG